rnacentral:rRNA from 1 species
CCUACGGGAGGCAGCAGUGGGGAAUAUUGCACAAUGGGGGAAAACCCCUGAUGAGCAGCGACGCCGCGUGGAGGAAGAAGGUCUUCGGAUUGUAAACUCCUGUUGUUGAGGAAGAUAAUGACGGUACUCAACAAGGAAGUGACGGCUAACUACGUGC